rnacentral:lncRNA from 1 species
AUGGCAAUACCAUGAGUAGAGUAUACCGUCAGCUUUGCCAUAGAAAGCCAUAGAAAACAUUUCUAGAUACUUACCCACGGCUUUGCCAUAGAAAAGCAUUACCUACUGUAUUAUCGUGGAUAAGGUCAAUUUUAUUUUUUUUCAUUUAUAAACAGCCGGUAGCAAUUGUAUGCUACUAUCACAUAACUUCAUCCAUUUUCACCCAACAAGAUAACCAAUACCAAACAAACAAUAACUAAAUUUAAAACAAAGCAAAUUGAGUUAUAUCAUCAAAAGAUCACUUACUCAAAUUAAAGUGUAGUGUUAACAAAAAUUGACACUAUUACAAUUGUCAAAAUAAACAAAUAAGAUACUUAACAAUUUGGACAAAAUAUGUAGUCAUAACAGUUUUUCCCCUAGAUGAUUGGGCACAUAGCUUAAAACGACUCUUAGGGUCAAUUGUGUUGAUGGUUUGGGAACCCUUACCAUCUGCACCUUCUGAGGCCUGAUGCAACUUAUAUCUUGUUCAACCCAAGAUGAAUCCUAUGCACUGGUUUGAGUUCUUACAAAGACCUCGUCCACUGUGGGUAUUCUACCCAACUCUGAAGCCUUUCAUAAACAUAAAACAAGACAAACUUUAGUUUUGUGCCAAACAUUUCUUACAUAGGAAGAAAACUAGCUUUAUGCUAUUAACCAUUAUUUUAUUAAGAUCAGGCAGAUCAAAAGGAAGAAUUGAGAAGGAAGUAAGAUACAUUGCAUACAUACAAACUCAAAAGCGCCUAAGUCUUGUAUGCUACCUUAUACCAUAAAAAUAAGCAUUGAACUGCUAUUUGUGUUGAAUUUAGAUACAUGUCUGACUACAUACAUGUAAAUUAUGACCACAGGGCAUCAAUAUUAGUGCACUAGAACUAAUCAUCUAUCAAUUUGCAACAUUGAAUCCAAUUUGAUGCAUUGAAAAAGAAAUAGUACAUGAAAAACAAUACAAAAAAUGUAGACAGAUUACUAUAAAGGAAGAAAAACA